rnacentral:rRNA from 1 species
UUGCUCGAGUGGCGAACGGGUGAGUAACACGUGAGUAACCUGCCCUUGACUUUGGGAUAACUUCAGGAAACUGGGGCUAGUACCGGAUAGGAGCUCCUGCUGCAUGGUGGGGGUUGGAAAGUUUCGGCGGUUGGGGAUGGACUCGCGGCUUAUCAGCUUGUUGGUGGGGUAGUGGCUUACCAAGGCUUUGACGGGUAGCCGGCCUGAGAGGGUGACCGGCCACAUUGGGACUGAGAUACGGCCCAG